rnacentral:lncRNA from 1 species
CAGUCACCGCGCAUUCCCCCUUCCGCGCCCACGGCAGUCACCGCGCAUUCCCCCGCCGCGCCCUGCAGCCUCUGAACUCCUUUCCGUCCCUCUGGACUUGCUGCCGUGUGCUCUGCACAGGAGAGGGACAGCAUCUGUUCCUGCGUGUCUGACUCUUCCACACAGCAUGGUGCUGCGGCGUGCCAGCGUGUCGCUCCUCUCUCGGGCUGAACCCCACUCCACUGUACGGCGGCCACAGUGGUCCAUGCACCCACCCAUCGCUGGAGGACAACUGUGAGCUGCUUCCACAGCGGGCAUUGUGUAUACUCCAGCUUCAACGCCGCGUCCAUCCAUUUAUUUCUGUGGACGUUCGCGUUCAUCUCUCUGGGAAGGAGAAGCCUGCGCAGGCCCCAGCCCGCCCGCGAGUCUUCAAUUCUGUGUCUUAUCAGAGUUGCCUACUGAGGUGGAGGCGGGCACAACCCUCGACCAACCAUUAGCAAAGCCCAUGCUCCGGCCGUCUGGCCCCAGUUCCUGGUGUGACCUCACCCCCAGGUGGGUAGGACUCCUGGUGAGACACAGCGGCGCCACCCCACCUCGUUCCCCAACAACCUCAACACCGGAAGAGAAAACCCAGGCGAGGCCCCCUUGGGCUGAAUGCACUCGGCUCUGAGGAAACCUCCGGCAUCCAGCACCUCAUUCCAGGCCGGGGUCUGCAGACCAGCACGUGGGAACGGCGGCAUCCAGCACCUCAUUCCAGGCGGAAGUCUGCAGACCAGCACGCGGAACAGUGGGGCUUCCACCUGAGCACCACACACCUCCUUGGCACAACCCCUCUGAACCGAUUUUCCCGAGUCCCUCCAGUGACAAGAAGCUCACCACUAUCCAGGUACAGAACGGAGCCAGCCCCACUGCAGGGUGCUGUCAACCUGCCCUCACGAAGGGCCUGAGAGUCUGAGGAGAACUCGGGACGUGCCUGUUUAAAUAAAUUCAUGUGCACAGAUAUGCCAUGUGGGUCACUGGGCAGCCCCUGGCCACCCCACCCCACGGUUCCAGGCACUGCUCUAAACGGCUGACGAACUGUAAUUACGUCUGUAUUAAGGGAAAAAGCCUAAAGGGGUGUCUUGGACAGCGGCUGGGGCUACGUAUCGGAACUGGUAGAUGGCUGGGUGCUGGGGGCCAGCAGUGAAGGCGACGGCACAGAACAGGCCACCCCAGUGCAGCCCCAAAGGCACGGGGGCAGCAGCAGAUGCGAGAAGGGUGCUCUAGCCUCCCCUUUCUUCCUGCAAGCAGAUGAAACCCCACGUGAAACACGCCCUCCUCGUAGAGGAAGAGGACGUGCUCAUCACCAGCACCGGGAGCUGAGGCUGAGAGACAGCUGCACACACCAACCCUUAUCUCCCUCAGCCUCCCCAAGGAUUUUAGUUACUUUUUCACAGUUGCUAUUCUUGGGCAUAGAAGCCCUCAGGUCUAACUGCUUCAGGAGGCCUUCACUUUCUGAAGUCUCCCAUGUACCUGUAAAAAUAACAUUUGUGGCCGUGCGCAGCGGCUCACACCUGUAAUCCCAGCACACUGGGAGGCCGAGGCGGGUGGAUCACGAGAUCGAGACCAUCCUGGCUAACACAGUGAAACCCCAUCUCUACUAAAAAUACAAAAAUUAGCCGGGAGUGGUGGCGGGCGCCUGUAGUCCCAGCUACUCGGGAGGCUGAGGCAGGAGAAUGGCGUGAACCCGGGAGGCGGAGCUUGCAGUGAGCCGAGAUCACGCCACUGCACUCCAGCCUGGGCGACAAAGUGAGACUCCGUCUCAAAAAAAUAAAAUAACAUUCGUAAGCUUUUCUCCUGUUAUUCUAUGUCAACCUAAUUCUCAGACUCUGCCAGAGACCCAAGGAGGGAAGCCACUGCACGCAGCCUAAUGUUCAGGAAUUACAUAGUGGUGAUGAUUACACAACUUUGUGAAUAUAUUAAAAACCAGUGAAUUGUACAUUUUAAAAAAGCAAAUGUUGGCCGGGCACGGUGGCUCACGCCUGUAAUCCCAACACUUUGGGAG